UACAGAGGGGGCAAGCGUUGUUCGGAAUUACUGGGCGUAAAGGGCGCGUAGGCGGCCUGUUAAGUCGAACGUGAAAUCCCUGGGCUCAACCCAGGAACUGCGUCCGAUACUGGCAGGCUUGAAUUCGGGAGAGGGAUGCGGAAUUCCUGAGUGUAGCGGUGAAAUGCGUCAGAUAUCAGAGGAACACCGGUGGCGAAGGCGGAGU
rnacentral:rRNA from 1 species